AAAAAAUUAGUUAAUUUAUAACAUAAAAUUGUCAAUUUUAAAUAACUAUAAUAAUAGUAUUUUUUA
rnacentral:tRNA from 1 species